UACGAAGGGGGCUAGCGUUGCUCGGAAUGACUGGGCGUAAAGGGCGCGUAGGCGGAGUGCUUUGUCGGGCGUGAAAUUCCAGGGCUCAACCUUGGGGCUGCGUUCGAGACGGGCAUUCUAGAGUUCGGAAGAGGGUCGUGGAAUUCCCAGUGUAGAGGUGAAAUUCGUAGAUAUUGGGAAGAACACCGGUGGCGAAGGCGGCGACCUGGUCCUUGACUGACGCUGAGGCGCGAAAGCGUGGGGAGCAAACAGG
rnacentral:rRNA from 1 species